UUUAAUCGUCGAAUCUUAAUUGCAUCCUGCCUUUGCCUCUUCGCAUGCAACCGGCAGCGUGAACACUUCGUAACACACGUCCUUCCGGAUCGUUUCAUCGGCCAAAAGCAACAGAUCCAUUAAACUAACGACUCCCGAAGAAAGGAUACCAAUUGACCCGUUCGUUACAGACUCGUAUACCUGUGGGUUUACACACAUUUGAUCAUCGAUGACUAACUCACCCGGCUCAGUGGCACGAAAAGAACCUCGAUAACGCUUUAUGACUUCCGUUCUCUCGAUGUCAGAAGGUCGUCGAUCGGCAGACUGAAAUCGAAGACACUUGAUUAAUAAGACGAAUGUUCGAUGGCUUCCUAAAAACAUGACAUACUACCGAGUUAUCUCGUGUUUAUAGAUAAGUACAGAUAGUAUCGUUCAAAGCUCGAUAUCUGAGUUUACCAAAAUGUUGAUGGUUAUUUGAAAUUUUAACAUUGAAAUUCUAGAACAUUAGUUAGUUUCAUAGUACACUUA